rnacentral:tRNA from 1 species
CAGGGGUAACUCAGUGAUAGAGUGCUUGCUUAGAAUGCAUGAGGCCCUGGAUUCAACCCCCAGCCACCUGU